rnacentral:rRNA from 1 species
UACGAAGGGGGCUAGCGUUGCUCGGAAUCACUGGGCGUAAAGCGCACGUAGGCGGCUUUUUAAGUCAGGGGUGAAAUCCUGGAGCUCAACUCCAGAACUGCCUUUGAUACUGAGAAGCUUGAGUUCGGGAGAGGUGAGUGGAACUGCGAGUGUAGAGGUGAAAUUCGUAGAUAUUCGCAAGAACACCAGUGGCGAAGGCGGCUCACUGGCCCGAUACUGACGCUGAGGCACGAAAGCGUGGGGAGCA